rnacentral:piRNA from 1 species
UCAAAUGUUUUCAUUUUCUUCAUCAGUUGC